AUUGCUUUUACAGCUGUAUGCCAUUUGUCGAUGAAGUUUUAUCUUUUUACGUCCUUUAUCUAUUUGUCAAGGCUUUGUUGACUAACUUCUUAUCAAAGUACCCAUGUUGUUCUGCAUUAUCCAGGAAUAUUUGUCUGACUAUGAGAAGUUGAUUUCAAUUGGAUUAACGUGUUUACAUGCAUUUUAGACAUCCAUUUUUAGUAGGGUGCGCAUACAUCCUCUUUUACCAGGACAUGUCCUGUCCUCUUUUUGGGGGGCUGUCCGGCCUUGUCUGGCUUUGUCCGAGGGAGUUUCCAAAAUCCUUCAAAUGACCGCGGUUCUAUGUGGAAGUUUUGAGUUUGUGUCGUGUGGACUUACUGAGUUAGAAGUGCAUAAAAAACUCUCGAUCCAACCCAAAAAGCUCUUAAAAUUAACUCUGCCCUGACUCCGCCUUGCCUAGUCGUGUCCUUUUUUUUUCGGGAUUCUGAAUAUGGUCCCCCUUUUUUUAGUCCAUUUUUGCAGUAGAUAUAUUUUUAAGUGCAUUUAAAUGCACUGAUUGUUAGUCCUGAAACAGCAUUGGAAAUUGUGCCUCUCCAGGUUACUAAUCCAGGUCGCCUUUUGAUUGUUCUGUCAACAAUUAUCAUUUAUUUCCUUACUUUAUGAUAUACUGUAUGGGACGUGAUGCAAUUGAACCCAGAGACACAAAAAAUCUGAAUAAAAGCAUGACAAACAAUUGUUUAAUGAGGCAUUGUCUUCUCCUGAGAAGUUUUGGUCUCAGAUCAUAAAUUUGAAUAUCAUUAGAAACCGAUGCUGUCAUGCAAGGUGACUGCAUUUAUUAGUUGACUUUAUGAGGUCAUGCCAUGCUCUGACAUUGUUAGUGUGAACAAGCUGAAGAGUCUUUAGCAGCCUGAAAGAAGAGAGUUGCAAAAAGCCUAGAGGAAACGAAUGUAAAGAAGGACCUCCAUCUUGGAUUUGAAAUAGUAACAUUUGUUAUUGAGCGGCUCUGAAAGGUCAAAUUCACACAGGUCCACUCAGAGUCCCUCUGAGGUCUUUGGCAGGGAGCUCAGGUCUUUCUGGAAAUGACCAAAGAGAGGGACAAAGGAAAAACCUUUUACACAGCUCACAACCUGCACAGAAGGUGCUCAGAAGGACAAAGUAAUCCCAAUAAAAACCACUUUGAGGAACAUGAUAUGUGCUGGCAGUGUGCAGUGCCAGAUCCUAACUUAGAGUGCACUGGCACAAAAACUUUGAGAUAAGUGACAGUAAUUUCACAGUAAAUCACCAUUUAAGUUCUUCUUCUGACAUUUUCACCAUUGGGCUUGAAUGCUGGCAGUGCAUUAACACUGCAGACUGUAUCAGAGACUUGAUUUGCAUGUAAGGUCGCAGUCUGGUUUACUGACAAACAUAGGUGCUGUAAUCUCAAACUGUAGUUAAAGAAAUACCAGUUUAUCUGAUCGAUCAGAUUAUCAGCUCUGACUCAGUCCUGUCCACAGAGUCCUGAUCCCUGAAAGCAGCUGUGUGGAUGUGGACUGUUUACUUUAGCCAGCAUGUCAGUUAGAAUUAGGAGAGCGUUACACCUUCCAGCGAAAAGCAUUACUUCUCGAAAUGCAAAUUCCCCUCCGCAUGUGUGUGUGAGUGAGUGGGGCUCUGUUUGCAUAGUGUGUGCUGAUAUUGGUCCCCACACAACAUCCAUCGCUUGUUCAGAUGGAGCCUAGAGCUCUCAGGAAAGCUUUAGUAUUUUUCUAGCCUGGGCACUAUUUCUAAAAAUAACCCAUCUAAUGCAGGUAUUAAAAUGUUUUGAUUUUUUAAAAGUUCAUUGAAAACUUAAAAUACUCAAAAAUAAGAGCCCAAGUGUUGCAUAAAUGUCCUCUGAGAAGGUUUCACGAAAACGACGAAAAGAAAACUUAGAACGCAUUAAAAUGAUCUCUUUCUCUGAAGAAUAAAGUUUGAGCCCCACGUCUUUUUACUCCCUGAAAUUCAGCUCUGACGAGUUUGGAUGGUGGUAUUUUUUACUUCACCUACUCUGGGCUCAGUGUGCUGCAGAGGACAGAUCCUCCACAGGGAAGCAGGACUCAGACCAAACAGUUUAAGCUGCCAAACAACUGAGGACCAAUGAUGUUUAAGAGUUAACUACAGGGGGUGAGGACGAGGGGGUUGGGGGUGAGGAUGGGGGGGUUGGGGGUGAGGGUAAGCUUUUAGCCAUGUGGCUGUGAUUUGGUUCUACAGGCAGGGUGGAGGUUGAACAUGAGGGCAGCAAUAACCUCAGGGCUUAAAGCAGAACGUUCAAGAACCUCACAGGCGACUGCAGUGCUCAGGCUGCUCGCUGUGGAUUCACAGAUUCAAACAGGAUGUGAUUUCACUGUUAGCACAAAUAUGUUACUAACAGACCCAACAAUGUGAAGAACUGCACCAAGAGUCAGGUGGGGAACAAAAGUAAGUGUCUGAACAUGGUGCAGACCUCAACCAAAUGUCUCCUGCAUGUGCAAACUACGGGGAGAAUUGACAUUUCCUACUUUCCUCUGAGCUCACUGGCAUUUUCCUGUUUCAAACUUCAUUCAAGCGUGAGACAACAGGCAGCCACCCUGAAACUGCAGAAAGUGAAAUUUUAUUUCUAUGGUUAAACGGGGCUGUUUGUAAUAUACAAGAAGAAAGGAUAACCAUCUUUUAAAACCAAAAAAAUAAAAAUCUGAAAUUGAUUUUGAGCUAAAAAAAAUCUAGCAAAUGGUAAAACCGUAUGUUCAUAACUGUGGUCCCUCAUGCAGGUUUCCACAAAUCUUGCUCAGAUCAUCUUGCUCAUCACCUGACAGUGAUGAGUUGGAAAUCUUCAAAUGACUAAAAAAUAUAUAGCCAAAUUACAGUUAAGCAUUUUACUUUUUUUUAAACAAGCAAAACGCAAGACAGAAAAAAAUAUAUAAAUAUAAAAGCAUGACAAGGUUUUAUCUCUGCCAACAAAUUUUUGGUAAAAGCUGCCGAGUGUUGCUGGUACUGAGACUUAAUCUGGAUUUUUGGUCUUUGUUGUAAUAUAAAAACAAAGAGCUUGGCUGGACCUGCUGUUUUUAAGCAUCUUAAAAUAACUUUUGUUGAGAAUAGACGCUGUAUAGAUAAAAAUUGAUGGAUUGAUUAAUUAAUCUUUAUUUACUCAUUGCUUGCAGCUUUAUUAGGCUACAUAGCUUUGUCUGGGACUGCAUUCACAAUUUAUGCUUUUUGGUCGUUACUUCUAUGUGUGAGCCUAAUGGUUGGUGGCACAUUGAAAGUUUUAACUGAGGAUUUGUAAAUUCAAAUAUUACUCCUUGAUGAUGGGCUUGCUUUGAAUAUGAUCAUUACAGCGAGACUUGCUCUGCGCAUAGAUGCUUCACACUGGGUGUACUAAUGGGCCUUUUAUCUUGCGGUGUUAACCGCAUGCCACCACAGACUAAUUUGUAUAAACUGUCACAUUUAUCAGAUACAUUAUUUUUUGCAGAGGCAACUUUGACACUCUAGUCAAUGGAAAGUUCAGCUGCAGGUCACAGCUGUGUCAUUCUGCUAGUUUCAUUUAUUUGGACAGAGUGGUUUAAGUGCCCGUUAACUAAAAGCAUACACAAAUUUCUUUGAAGUAUUUUUUUUCUUUACAUAUUUGAACAAUUUAUUGUGAAUAUAUUGUUGUGUAGAAAACUAACAUUAAGAAUACUGAUUUUGUGUGGUCAAAUCUUACAAAAAUCAAAAGCCUGGCCAGUUAUCCCCCUUUAUUUUUCAUUUUGAAUAUGCAAGUAUUAAUUUUCUUGUUUCAAUGUGUGUGAACAAUGGAAUGUCUUUAUUUCACAAUCCACCGCUUCUCCACAAGGAGACUAUUGGUGUCUUGACACUCUGUUACCAAUCAAAAGAGUGAACCAUGGACCAGUAUUGAUCAGAGAUUGACCGAAGGAGUCAUACUUUGAAGAGCUGGGACCGAGCUGCUGUGUGAAAGUUUGGAGUCAGAUGGUUUCAGGCUCCCAGCAAACAGUUUAGCUGCUGAUGUUUGAUAAGAAAAGUCAAGACCUCUCACAUAACCAAGGCGUAUCUGUCAACGUCUCCCUGAGACUCUGCUCUCAUGCUGAAACUUAAGGCCGCGACCCCUUACACACACACACACACACACACACACACACACAAAUAUAUACAAACACACACACACACGGUCAUCCUGCUGAUAACCCCUGACACAUCAGUCUUAUGGUAACACAAGUUCUGGUUCCUCUGACCAGUAAAGAAAACUCAAAGUAAAACUGAAAAUACAGUUUUUUUUUUCUCUCUCUCUCUGAGUGAUUGUGAAACAAAAGUUGUGGUUUUUAAUGCUGAGACCUUCUGUGAAGCUGAAGCCUCAAACAUAUGCUGAGCCACCGCAGCCUGAGGUUUAUAGAUGCCCUGAUGCUGCAUUAAAAUAAUCAGUUUGCCCCCCAGCAGGUGUCAAUAGGGGGUCUGCGGUGGGCUCCAAGGACUCCUGCAGACCUCUCUGCAUAAACGAUAAGGGGUCAACACAGAGGAGGGAGGAGCUGGAGGUUGGGAAGGUAGGUAAAAGAGGUUUAGGAGGACUUCCCCAAGGCUUUUUAUUGUUGUUUCCUGCCCUGAGGUGAUCGAAAACAGCAGUAAUACAACCAUGAUUAGUGUUAGCUGCUGUUGUUGGGAACAAUUGUCCAUUACCAGUUGUUUAUUAAGUCAUAAAAUAGUAUGGUGGUGAUCUGAAAGAAGUGAUCACCAAUUCCAUGGAACUAAUGAGCCUUUUUAGACGUGCACUCCGGAAAAUUUCCGUAAAAUUCAGAGGCUCUGACCUGUAAAUUGACCAGAUUGGACUGUCCACACAUAGCUUCUCACAGUGUGAAGUGUCAAACACCAUGAUGAGUUUUUUGUGAUGUUUUUGAUGAAAUAAAAUAGAUGUUUUUGCAGCUGUCUUUUGCUUUACAUCAAGCAACAGACACGAAGUUAAUUAGGUGGAAUGAAAAUGAUAAGAAGAAAAAAACCUCACCACCACUUGGUACCUAGAGAGGGAGAAUAGAGUUGUGACUGAAAUUGAAAUCCACUGUAGAUUAAACAGAUUUCCUCUUCACCCUGAAAACCACAGUGUGUAUUUUAUUGAACGAUUCUUUUAAUAGGUAAGGUGAGAUGCACUUUAAUCUGAUGUCCUGGUGUAACACACACCAAUCUGAGUGUCAUGAGGUCUCUGUGUGACGAGUGUCCUCUGUGACACCACGCCUUUGGCCCAACUGUAGAGACUUUGUGUUAUCUGUGACAGCUCCCACACAUACUCUCUGCCCGCCUGGAUAAGCUCCUGAUGAUAAAGAAUUUCUUUCUAACUGAGGCGGGACUGCAGCAACAAUGCUAUAACAGCAACACUGAUCUGCAACACGCCUGCGAAGGGCAACCUUAAGGUCCUGACCUGCAGCUCGUGUCAGCCUCUCUGCUCUCUGGUUUAAGCCUGUGGCUGCUUUCAAAAGAGUUUGGAUAGGAACAACAAACUCUUAAAGAAAAGGAAAACUGUUGAAUGCUAAAUAAAAAAAGGGCAAGAGAAACACCUUCUUAAUUAGAACAUUAUCUAAAAUUCACAAUAUCACAAAAAACUUUGCAGAUCUGGAGGAACCUCUGUAAUACAGGGACCAUGUCAUAAAUCAAGACUGGAUUACCUUGAUUUUUUGGCCCUUAGUAAUUCAGUAAAUAGAACAGACUGAAAUCAUGGAUGUCUUUCUUUUGAUAGGAUUAGAACCCGGCUUGUUUUCAGCAAACUUUAAGUUUGCUGAAGCUCCCUUAAGGAGUUUUAACAUUACUGAAACAAGAUUAUGGUUUCUAUGGCUACCUACUGUAUUCAUAAUAUACAAAAGCAGAAAAGAGCAUUAGCAGAAAGAUAGAUUAUUUUGACCUCGUAAUUUUCCAUUCCUGAAAAGUAACACGAGGGGGUGGAUGUCAGCUGAAGAGCUGCAGAUAGUUUUACAAUAUCCUCGUAAUAUAUUCACAAUAAAUGAUACUUUUGACUAUUAAAUGUCAGCAGGAUUUUGUUAGAAGACAAUACUCAACCCUUGGUUCCUGUUAGUUUUAAGCUCCAUCCAGCCUACUUUGUUCCCAAAACGGACAUGCAGAUAAGUGUUCAUAAAAUAAUCGUUUUUUAAAGUUUGUGAACUUUUUUUCGACUCAUAUUUCUUACACAACUUCAGCCCUGACCAUCAAAAAAUAAAUAUAAAAAAUUCAAUGUUACACCCUUUUUAAGCCAGUUAUUGUGCACCGAGUCACUGUUAUUUUUAAUUGUAGAAAACACAAAAUCGCCAUAUUUCUCAUAUGAAAUGAUCAAGAUGAAAAAAGUUUUUUUUCAAUAAUUAGAGUCUGGGCCAUGUCCAUGAUGAGUAAAAUCGAUUUUGGUGCAUUUAAAGUUUUUUUUUUGUAUUGCCAAUAUCCAGCCUACUUUGUGCCCAAAAUGGACAGUGGGAACCGCGGGUUAAACAUGGAGAGGACAAGCCAAAAGACUACUUUGUCCACAGAGGGCACAAAAGUUGACAAAAAAACUAAAGAAAAACAAAGAAAUGAGCCUAGCAGGAGCUUUAAACAUAGGGUGAUUUUAUCAACACAUAACACUUCUUUCACAAAGGACCCAUGAAGACCUCUGGUUGCAUUCACAUUUCUGAACAUAGAAAAAAACAAAAGAAUUCAUGUGGUGUUGCUCACUGAUGUUAAUGUGAUCAGAAAAUUUAUGAGAAAACUGAAAGCUUUAGCCUGAUUAAUCAUGAAACAUAGGAAUAUAAAACAGACUGUAACCCUGAUUCAACACAGAUGACAUGCUGUACUAGUAAUGUGGUUCUUGAAACACCUGCAGUGUUUUUAGUUAAUAAUUGACAGAUUACACAUUUAUAUUUACUCACAUUUAAAUGUUUGAGCAGAAGCAUUACCAAGGCAAUCUGAAAUAACAGAUCAGUAAGGCAAAAUAGCCUCUGAGUGCUGUAGAAAGAAACAGGUUUGAUCUCUAGUGUGUGUAAGAAAGAGAGAGAGGAAGAGAGAGAGACUUUUGUGAAUGGCCUGUAGUCUCAGCCCAUGUUGUGCUCUGAUUGGUCCACAGCUCAGCCAAUGGGAGGCUUCCACUCAGGAGCUCCAUUCAUGAAAAGGCAACACACAGAGAGAAUGAAGGAAGCGUGUGUGUGUGUGUGUGUGUGUGUGUGUGUGUGUGUGUGUGUGUGGUUCUUUCUUUGUGUCACUUCCUUAUUUUAUCACCACAGGGAAGAUUUUGUUCUUGUGUGUGUUAAGUGUUUUAACGUGAAAGUUGACAGAUUUUAAUAAGUACACAAACUCAGUCUGUAUAUUUACAUGCAUAGUUAAGUAAUUUCAACAUUAUAGUUUAUAGAUUAAAACAGUUUAACUGGACUAAAACUGUGUCCCCUCUGUGGUAUACAGAUAACUUAGGUGGUGAUAUGCCCCUUUCAGCCAGUUGUCAUCAGACGCCCCUUUCAUUUUGCUUUUUACACAAACACGCUUAUCAAAGACUGAAAACAUGGCCAACUUUGCAGCUCUUAAACUUUUGCAUGUAGUUUAAAAUCAUGUUAAUGGCUAAGAUGAUCCCAAGCAUUUGAUUGUAAUUUGAUUGCACAAAAACACCAGUUUUCAUGAUUACAUUUUUUUAUAAAAGGAAAAAAAUCCUUGAGGAUUCAGGGAAAUUUUCAGUGCAAAUCCAGCGAUACAAGUUUUUACGAAUAUAUUUGAAUUAUCUCACACAGUAAAUAUUGAUUUUAUUCCUAAAGUGUGCUACAAAUGUGUUGUUAUUCACUCAAAUGGAUUUAGGUUAACCAAAGAAAUGCACUGGUUGCUAAGUUUAAAAAAAAUGAAGGUAGUAGUUGAAUGAUGUUCAUUAUGUCUUCAUUUUCUUAGAAAUAGUUUUCUUUUUUUCCUUUAUCUCAGACAUGUUAUCUUUUUCACAUGCCUUGACAUGUUUCAGCAGAAACUUCUGCCUUCCUCAGUAGUGUCACUUGGUGGUAACAUGUCAAGGUACAUGAAAAAGAUUACAUGUCCGAGAUAAAGGAAAAAAGAAAACUAUUAUAUGAGGGAACUAUCAUGAUCCAUCCAGGUCCCAUCGUACAACCGACACCUUGACAAAUGAAUGACAGUAAAGCUUUGACCUUUGCUGUCCGAGGGAGAACCUUAGCAAUCAAUCAUAUGGAUGUUCCAGAGCGGGUUUACCGUUUAAAAAAGAAAAUGGUCCCGUGGUCCUGCGCACACGAUCAGGUACUUUCCAAAAGGGCAGCAAACUGCGAGGAAUUCUCCUAAUGCUUGUUUUUUCAUGGUGAGUCAGAAAGCAUUCCAGCGGUACACAUGAAAGAAUUUAUUAUGGAAACAUUUUUAUCAUUUUAUCUCAGUCUGUGUGUGUGUUUGAAUUAAGGUCAUUAUCUUGAAGCCAUGGAUGUCUUUUUGCACAUUUGUCAGCUGUCCAAAUCAAAAUGUGGAGUAAUAAGCUUAUCUCUGCAGCACAAUCCUUUUCACUGAUUGCAUGUUUAUUAUAGCCUGUGGCUGUUUUGUCUGUUUAGACUCUUCAACACUGCUUAAGACGCUUUCCAUGCUUGUUUUCCUUCUUCUUUUUUUCUCUUUCUGCUGUUUCCAUUCUUAUGCAGGGCGUCUCUUCUGACCAUCCGGUCCAAAGUGUCCCCCCCAGGCAUCCCGUGUGUUUGUGUUCAUGUUCAUGUGUCAGUUCCUACCACUUCAGGAUGCUUUGGUCUCAACAGUGUGUAGCUGGUUGUGUGCCAGAUUGUGACUCAUUGUGUCAGUGUUAUACAGGGAGAAAGCAGGGACUGUUUUUGGGCAGUUUCCUGCUGAUAUACUGCUGAGGAUGUGGCUUCUGUAGGUUAACCAGAUAAUGGGCAAGGAGGACAGUGUUGCUGUAUUAGGACCUCUUAAAUGGUUUGUUCAAAACCCCUGUCAUAUUCAUUUGAGUGAAACAUUAAAGAAAAGUUUGUAGUCUUUCUUCUGUGUUAAAAAAAAGUCUACCAUAAAAUGCAAAUUAAAGAUGGGUGCUGAUAAACUAGCUGCAAAAGCAAAGUAACCCGUUUCUGGAGUUUUGGCAGUGAAAUUUCCCACCAUCACUUGAUACAGAAUUUCAGCUGCUCAACAAUUUGUUAAAAUCCUUGAUGUUUUAAUUAAGUUAUGAAUCUGGGCUAAAGGUGUGAGUGCCUGGAGUCUUACUGAAAUAUGUAAGGAAGGUCUUACCGGAAUGACAAGGUCAUUGUGCGUAUAGCAGCAUGUAUGGUGCUCCAAAAGCAGAACACUUAUGGAUUCCCGUACCAUCAAGAAUGAUGGAUUUUGAACUGUGUGCUGAUUACAGGGACACAACAUCCAGGAUUUAAAAAAAAAACAAAAACAAAAAAAAAAAAAUAUUUAUCAGACUACAGGACCAUUUUCCACUUUGUUUCAGUCCAUCUCAAACAGGCUGUGGUCCAGAGAAGCUGCUGGCAUUACUCGGUCAUGGUAUAAAUGGUUUUCUCUUCACAACAAUGACAGCAGUUUUCAAGGGUUAUUUUGAGACCAUGCAGUAAUGUCCCCUUUUGGACACAUCAUUUUAUGAUAAUAUUAUAUGUGUAGAUGAUGAAAAUCCUGUUUGUUUUGGUCUAAUCUGAGAAUCAUUAUUCUCAAAUUGUUGAACUAAUUGCUGAACCAGUUCCUAUCCUUACAAAUUAUUUUAACCUCUAACACAGGAGGUCAAUGCUCUUCUCAACAGGAAGGAGGCCCCCUCCACAUAUAAUCAAAUUUGGAGUAAACGCAAAAGGUUUUUAGUCAUAUUGUCAUUUCAUCCACAUGGAAACAACAUUGUGGAUGGCUAAGAGACAUAGGAGCUCAGGGCCUGAAGUGGACAAUCAUAGAUGAUGCAGCUGGGGUCAGGCAGGUCAACAGCAGCCAACUGUCUGUAGCAACAGUCCAGAGGAACCCAUGAGACUGAGGAUCAUGGGGACACUCUGAGAGAUCUGUGGCUAGUAACUUCCAUGGGACAUCAAGAUCUAAAGGAGAGAGAGGGACAGAGGAGCUCAGUGUGCCAGUUUCCCAGCAGUCAAAACCUAUGGCAGCAUUACUUAGAGCUGAUUAAAGCCUAACCAGUCCUACCUAUAAGCUCUAUCAAGUUUAGGGAGGAUGGUGGAGCAGAAGCUGAAGGAAACAACAUGAGGGAGGUCUGGGAAGACAUGAAUACCAUUACAAGCCACAGUACCAAGACCAGAGCCGUAGGGGGAACAAUAGUAAGGGCAAAUGAACUGAAUGACUUCUCUAACCAGUUUAACCAGCUCAUGCCCUCCCAACCCUACCCCUUACUGCAGCCAUCUCUCCUUUCUCCCUCAACACCCCCAUCUCCACCCCCACCUUAACACAGACCUUUCUAAGCAUCACUGUGUACCAAGUCGGAGGUCAGCUGAGGAAGCUGCACUCCAGAAAAGUAGUUGGUCCAGACAAGGUGUGUCUUAGACGACUUAAGACCUGUGCUGCUGAGCUGGGUGAACCGCUGUAAUAAAUCUUCAACUUCAGCCUGCAGCUGGGGAGACUGCCCACUCCUCUAGAAGAAAUUCUGCAUCGUUCAGUUCCAAAGAAAAACCGGCUAAGGGAGCUGGAUGACUUCAGACCAGUGGCACUCACUUCACAUGUAAUAAAGACAAUGGAACAGCUCUUCCUCAUCAUCCUCAGGUGUAGCAGGUCAAGGACAGUCUGCAGUUUGCAUACAGAGCAGGCGUUGGUAUGGAGGAUGCCAUCCUCUACCUGCUACACCGAGCCCACUCACAUCUGGAUAAAGGGAGUGGCACCGUGAGAAUCCUCUUUCUGGCCCUCCUUGCCUGAGGACAAACUGAGCAAGAUGCAAGUAUACCCCUGUCACCUGGAUCUCCAAUUAUCUCACCAACAGUCCACAGUAGAUGAAACGAUGUUGCCCCCUUUUCCCUUAAUCCUGUACACCCUUAACUUCUGUUACAACUCUGAGCUGUGUCACAUCCAGAGGUUCACCAAUCUUACAACCAUCAAUGGAUGACAGAGAGGAGGAGUACAGGGGCCUGGGGGGGGAUUUUGCUGCCUGGUCCCACAGGAACCAUCUGCACCUCAACAACUUGAAGACCAGUGAGCUAGUCAUUGACUUUGGGAGGUCCAGACCAAGGUCAAGACCAGUUUUGAUCGAAGCAGUCAAGGUGGAGGCUGAAGACUCUUUCAAGUACCUUGCACUGUGGCUGGACAACAACUUAGACUGGACAAUAAACACGAACCACCUAUAUGGGAAGGGACAGAGCAGACUGUACUUCCUGAGGAGGCUACCAUCUUUUAACAUCUGCAGAGAACUCCAGUAGAUGUUUUAUUGGUCCAUAGUUGCCAGUGUCCUGUCUUACACUGUGGGGUCUUGGGGAAGGCAGCACAUCAAAGAAGGACACAUCAAGGCUGAAAAACUGAUAAGAAGAGCCAGACCAUGGUUGGCAUGAAGCUGGACUCUCUGGUGAUGGUGGCAGAGAAGAGGACUAUGGGCAAAUUACUGGACAUCAUGGUCAAUGCAAGUCACCCUUGAAAGGAAGUGCAUUUCUUUGCAGAUGUAUAGAAGCCAUAGAAUCUACCUGCUGGUAUGGAGGAAAGGCUAAUUUUUUUAAUUAUAUUUGAACUGACUAUAUUUAAUAUUAUGAACAUAUUGAACCUAUAACCCUAUUCUACCACUUCUUAGAUUCACAGUGUGUUGUAAUUCAGUCAACGUGUUAUUUUUAAUCAUACUAAGUCACUCGACAAUCUCAUCAAAGCAACUGUGAUAAAGGAAAUGACAGAGGGGAUUGCUCUGUGGGUGCAAACAGGGACAGACAAGUACCUCCAUGCAUUUAAAUCUGCUGCAGCUCCAUAUACGGACCUACAGUCUGAAUAGGGGCCACACCAGACUGAUGAAGAUGUCUGAGGCCAUGCUUACUGUAAAGGGCAGAGGUGAGGAGGCAGCUGGUGGACCUCCACAGACAGUAGACAGUCCCAGGAUCAGCUUGUUUUGACCAUUCAGAGUCUUUGUCUUGGGGUCAAGAAGGAUGGCGGUGAGCUUCUUGAAAGGAUGAAGGGGUUAGACUGCACCCCACCCUCUUCCUUGCCCACUCUCCACAGUCCAAGCCCGGGUGACCUCCAAACCAAACUAUCAGAAUGUCCCAAGCAGCCAUGGGGGGCCAUUGUUCUUGAAAGUAGGUCAAAGUCGCAGCUAUCACAAUCAAUUUGAACUGAUCUGAGAACAGUGGGGACAGAGACGAGGAGGACCAGGCUGCCGGCUGAUCACACUUGUUGAUAGUAACUGAAGGAACAGAAACUGGAGGCACUAUGUUGUUUUGUUUUACAUCCCCCGCUCUUCUCCCCAUGUCCCCUCAUAAUUGUUCUUUGUCCUCCUUCACCUCCCCUUUCUCCUUACUCUUAUGUUCCCUCCUCCAUUUGUAUGCUGUAAUUAGUCAUGUGGAACAUAUGGAGCAUCUUAUUACAUAACCAACAGCAGCUGCACCCAGACUGGAUCCAAGAUAAUGCAAAUCGGGGGCCAUGUUUCUUUAGCACAGCAGAUUUGAAGCUUUUAGCUGCGUCACAGCAAACUUGAUGUAUUCUCUGUCUCCUGGUGGACAAUGGCGGCUGUUGCUGGCCUCUUCCUUUCAUCAACCAACAAUGAAACUGUCACUGGGCUCAUACACUGCUGCUUCUCAGACAUGUACACUGAUGUAUCAUUAGCAUAAUAGUAUAGAAUCAUUUUACUGUAUGUGUUUAUGUGCAUGGUUUUGUCACGAAGACCCAACACCAAAACAAGGUAACAUUUAGUUUCAUCUUAUUUAUUUAUCCAUAAUAAAGGAUAGACACAUAUAGAUAGAGACAAACAUAAGCAUUAUCAUUCCACUUUAACAGCCAAUCAAUAGGUGUCCCUCAAGGGUCAGUGCUUGGUCCCCUACUUUUCUCAAUGAUUACAAUCUCACUCAGUGCAUCUACCCUAUCCCACGGUUUCCCAUAUCACCGCUAUGCAGAUGAUACCCACCUCUUCCUAUCGUACCCUUUCAGAUGCCACAACAGUAUCAACCCAAAGGGAUAUUUCUAAGUGGAUAAAGGCAUGCCACCUUCUGCUCAACCUGUCCAAAA